rnacentral:rRNA from 1 species
UACGUAGGCAGCGAGCGUUGUUCGGAAUUACUGGGCGUAAAGAGUGUGUAGGCGGUGCUCCCAGUCUGUUGUGAAAUCUCCCGGCUUAACUGGGAGGGUGCAGCGGAAACUAGAGUGCUAGAGGGUGGGAGAGGUAAGCGGAAUUCCUGGUGUAGCGGUGAAAUGCGUAGAUAUCAGGAGGAACACCUGUGGUGUAGACAGCUUACUGGACCACUUCUGACGCUGAGACGCGAAAGCGUGGGGAGCGAACAGG